rnacentral:rRNA from 1 species
UGAGGAAUUUUGCGCAAUGGGCGAAAGCCUGACGCAGCAACGCCGCGUGGGGGAUGAAGGUCCUCGGAUUGUAAACCCCUUUUCUGGGGGAAGAUGAUGACGGUACCCCAGGAAUAAGUCACGGCAAACUACGUGCCAGCAGCCGCGGUAAUACGUAGGUGGCAAGCGUUGUCCGGAUUUACUGGGCGUAAAGCGCACGCAGGCGGUUUGGAAAGUCCGUGGUGAAAUCUCUCGGCUCAACCGAGAGGGGUCUGCGGAUACUCCCAGACUUGAGUGGCGUAGACGAAGGUGGAAUUCCGGGUGUAGUGGUGAAAUGCGUAGAUAUCCGGAGGAACACCAGUGGCGAAGGCGGCCUUCGAGGCGCCAACUGACGCUGAGGUGCGAAAGCGUGGGGAGCGAACCGG